rnacentral:rRNA from 1 species
CAGAACCUUACCAGCCCUUGACAUCCCUGGUCGCGGACACCAGAGAUGGAGUCUUUCAGUUCGGCUGGACCGGAGACAGGUGCUGCAUGGCUGCUCGUCAGCAUCGAGUCGUGAGAUGUUGGGUUAAGUCCCACAACGAGCGCNACCCUCGCCCUUAGUUGCCAUCNUUAAGUUGGGCACUCUAAGGGGACUGCCGGUGAUAAACCGCGCGGAAGGUGGGGAUGACNUCCAGUCCUCAUGGCCCUUACNNGGCUGGGCCUACACACGUGCUACAAUGGCCGUGACAGUGGGAUGCACUGGAGUGAUCCUGCACAAAUCUCAAAAAGCCGUCUCAGUUCUGAUUGUGCUCUGCAACUCGAGCACACGAAGUUGGAAUCAUCUAUGUAAUCGCAGAUCAAGCACAUCUGCUGGCGAAUACGUUCCCGGGUCUUGGUACACACCGGCCGUAAUACCUUGGGAGUUGGAUUUACCUUUAUGACGGUCCGCCAAACCUACAGGGGGGCAGCCGGCCCACAAUACGUUCCACGACUGGAAGCGAAGUCGUUNCAAGGUAAUCAUA